AGCGCGCCCCGACUUGAAUGGAGCUCAUUUUUUGUGGCUGGUUUUAGGGUAGGCUAAAAAUAGCGGGAAUGGAAGGCGGAAAAAGGC
rnacentral:misc_RNA from 1 species